rnacentral:rRNA from 1 species
GACGAACCGAGCGAACGUUGUUCGGAAUCACUGGGCUUAAAGGGCGCGUAGGCGGGCUGCCAAGUUUGAGGUGAAAUCCUCCGGCUCAACCGGAGCAGUGCCUCGAAUACUGGCGGUCUCGAGGGAGGUAGGGGCGUGCGGAACUGUGGGUGGAGCGGUGAAAUGCGUUGAUAUCCACAGGAACUCCGGUGGCGAAGGCGGCACGCUGGACCUUUUCUGACGCUGAGGCGCGAAAGCCAGGGGAGCGAACGGG